UACGUAGGGUGCAGGCGUUAAUCGGAAUUACUGGGCGUAAAGCGUGCGCAGGCGGUCUUUUAAGUCAGAUGUGAAAUCCCCGGGCUUAACCUGGGAACUGCGUUUGAAACUGGAAGGCUAGAGUGUGGCAGAGGGGGGUGGAAUUCCACGUGUAGCAGUGAAAUGCGUAGAUAUGUGGAGGAACACCGAUGGCGAAGGCAGCCCCCUGGGAUGUGACUGACGCUCAUGUACGAAAGCGUGGGGAGCAAACAGG
rnacentral:rRNA from 1 species